UUUCCGUAGGUGAACCUGCGGAAGGAUCAUUACAGUGUUCUCUGCCCUCACGGGUAGAAACGCCCACCCUUGUAUAUUAUAUCUUUGUUGCUUUGGCAGGCCGCCCUCGGGCACCGGCUCCGGCUGGAUCGCGCCUGCCAGAGGAAACCCAAACUCUGAAUGUUAGUGUCGUCUGAGUACUAUCUAAUAGUUAAAACUUUCGACAACGGAUCUCUUGGUUCUG
rnacentral:misc_RNA from 1 species